UACGGAGGGUGCAAGCGUUAAUCGGAAUUACUGGGCGUAAAGCGCACGCAGGCGGUCUGUCAAGUCGGAUGUGAAAUCCCCGGGCUCAACCUGGGAACUGCAUUCGAAACUGGCAGGCUUGAGUCUCGUAGAGGGGGGUAGAAGUCCAGGUGGAGCGGUGAAAUGCGUCGCGCUCUGGAGGAAUACCGGUGGCGAAGGCGGCCCCCUGGACGAAGACUGACGCUCAGUUGCGAAAGCUUGGUGAGCAAACAGUAUUAGAUACCCCGUUAGUCC
rnacentral:rRNA from 1 species